ensembl:snoRNA LOC120094492 small nucleolar RNA SNORA17
CCUUCCCCUAGAAGUGUUGCAGUGCAUGGCUCCUGUGUUGCAUGUGCAUCAGUAGGCGGCAGGGAGGAGAGAGGCUAUGUCUAUGCUCAGUGUUCUGACCUAUGGACAUCUGAAUAUUAGUAGCCUGAAACA